AUGGGAAUUAACGUGGUGGACUCCGCAGUGUCAGGAUUAGGUGGCUGCCCUUAUGCAAAAGGUGCUUCCGGGAAUGUAGCCACUGAGGAUUUGAUAUAUAUGCUUAAUGGCCUGGGGCUCAAUACAGUAAGUUGCUUUAACAAUAUUUCAAUACUCACGUGUUACUUCCAGUUCCAAAUUGAAAUGCUUCUCAGAUUUGGGAAGCAAUGUUGAGGUCAAAGUUUUACUACAUAUUUGUUAUUUGCUAAAAUGCACAGUGGGAAAAUAUAAUAGAGUUCUUUUCUUUUCCCCAGCAGUUUCAUAAAAUAACUAUCACUAUAGCCCAAUCAUCAAUAGUGCUACUGUUUCACAUUUUAUAGUGUUUUAUAAACUCCAAAGUAAUUUUCCAUGUAUGAUCUGAUAUGACUUUACACACUUUGUGAGAGUCUGUGUCUUUGACUGUUAUGAUUGUUGAAUUUUGCAGUUUCGUGUUUUGUAUGGAUACUUUCCUUGGAGGAAACUGAGAUCUAGAUGGUCUCACAGUGACAACGAGGGCUUCUGAAAAAAAAAAAAAAACAGUGAGGGUCAAAUGAUCAAAUGAUCAGUAAGGGAAUGGAGCUUGGAAAUAUUUAGCAUGUGAGACAUUGAUGGCAAGAAUGGUCCCUUUCCAAGUAGCACCUGAAAAGGCACAUGCUGUGUGGUAACAUCCACCAAAAUUGAUGCCUUUUUGCCACAUACUUGAUAACAAUCUAUAAAUAUGUAAGGCAGUCUUUAAAAAGAAAGAAUAUAAAAGGCAAAAAAAAAAAAUCUAUGCACAAUUGAAUACAAAUCCAAACUGUUUUCUGAGAUGGCAAAGCAUGGACUGUAUUACUAAAUAGAUUUUCCCCCUCCCCUCCUGUCUGUCUUCUUUUUCACCCUAAUUACAUGAAUGUUCCUGCAGCACCAAACUUGCUUAUUGUCCACAUUCUGCUUCUCACCUCCACCCCUUAUGAUUUAUCAUCCCUUGGAAUAGCCUUAUGACACAUACUCCAUUUCAGCUGGAAAGCAAGGUACCUUCAUCCUGAAAGUAUUCUCCCAGCAUCUCCACGUCCAUCUCCUAGGCCAAGAAAUGAAAUCUCCUCUCCUUAGUCCUUCCUUGCUACCCUCUGUAUCUUCACCUUGGAACACACCACACAAGGCUGUAUCAUGACUCUGCUUACCUGUUCAACAUCCUGCACAGGCAGAUAGCAAUUAUUGUAGCCGCUUCAUACUCAAUGCCUGUGACAUAAUAAAAGUCCAAAAACUAUCAAAUACCAACAGCUGUUUUCUACAAACACCAAAAGCUAUUGCUUAUGUUCUGUGGUUAGGAAUAAGUACAAUUUCAUUUACUAACCAGCUUAAUCCUUUCUAUCAGAAGGCUAUGACAGAAGCUGUAGAGAAAAAGAUCCUGAAUCAAACUCAGUGAUGCUUAGUAUGUGUCAGGUCCUGUUAUGUAACUGUGGGGUCCAAAUGCAAAUAAGUCGCUCUGGUUCUAAGAAUUUUAAGAAGGAUUAUAGCAUUGAGUGGCAGCCACUGUUUAACCGUUGUCCAAGCUCAUAAGGCAAGGCUCUCUGUAGAAUCUAAUCUCACCAUGAAUCACAGGCUCAAUCAUUUGCCAAGCACCACUAGUUUGACUUUUAAGUUUGGCUGUUUAUACCUUCCUUACUGUCCUUGUCAUGACUACAUGUGGGUAGGCUCUUAUUUCUUUCCUGAAUAGUGAUCUCCUACAUUGAUGAUGGCUUCUGACUUGCCUUGUAAUUUAUCCUCCAUGUUGUCAUCAGAACAUUUUAUCUUAAAAUACAAGUGUGAAUAUGCCACAAUGUACUUUGAACACCCAUCAGUGGAUUCUUAUUUCCUCAAAAACCAAGACUGUGCUCUAUCAUAUAAUCCAGCCUAUUUAUACUUUUUUUUUCAGUUCCAAAGUCAUGUUUUAGCUUUUCUCAAUAAGCAUCAUGAUAAGCUUGUCCACUGUCCUCCAUAUGUACCCUGCUAUUUUUUAGAUAUCUUAUGUUGCUUUUCUCUCUGUCUGUAGUGCCCCACAUAUCCUCCUUCCUCUCAAAGACUCAUUUUCUCCAUAUAAAACCCAAAUCAGGAUUUAACCCUCCUAGCACCCUUCCCUGGCACAUUAUCUCCAUUCCUUUUCCUCAUGAGUUGGUUGCUCCACACUUCUGUCUUCAUAAGCACCUGAGCAUAUCUUCAUGGUUCAAACUAUAGUACACAUUUUUCUGCCUAUGGUUCUAUAUCAGGGAGCAGAAGUUCCCUAAAGACAGAAACCACAUUCCAUGUCAGAUUCUGAAAGCCCCAGAACAAAUCAUAGUGCAUGACACACGUUUAGGCACCUGAUAAAUGAUUUAAGAAUAAAUGCUGUGUUGUGUCAUGAGGAUAUUUGUGAAUCAAAUAAAAUGGUAGAGAAGGAACAAGAUGAAAUUCUUCUUUGGAAUGACAUCAAUGAAUUCCAUAGUUAAUAGUUAUAAAUGGAAUCCUUAGAAAGCAAAUAGGAACAUUAAUGACCAAAAUCUUCCUAUGAACCCUGGUGGAAUAUCAUUCAGAAAUGAAAGACACAUGAAGAUAGUUUUACAAAAUUUAAAUAUUACUGGAUUAACCUAAAAUGUGCCUAAUGAAUACUGUUUGAAGUCAUUACUAUGACAAAACCAAAUUUCUCAUACCAAAGCAAAUUCACUCCUGAAAACAACUACCCUGAAAACAGCUCUACAAUAAAAGAAAAAUAAUGACAGUCACUUAAAUGUGUUAUUUUACAAACUGUUUUUCUUGAUAAUUCUUGAAAAAGAGAAGUAAACUACAAAGAAAACGGUGCUUUAAAUAUUUCAGAGAGAAGUGUUUAAAAAGUCUCCAUUUUCUAAAAUGAUGAUAAUUAUUAUGAAAACCCUUAUGAAUAUUUACACUUGUCUGUUUUAGAAAAUUCAGACUUCUAUAAAGAUUAAAACUAUUCCUUAAGAGCAAGGAAGACUGGACAUGUUUAAUUGUAAGCCCUCACUGUGGCUAGUCCAUGUUAAGGGAGGACACAAAAGCUUACAAAAUGCUACACAAGGGCCAGUCUGUGGCUGAGCCACUUAAUGCUGUGACCCUUCCUAGGACAGAAGAGUUCUGGGUGCAGACUUUGAUGGUGACCUUUUGCUUCUUCAAGGCCCAGAGAUAAAGAGUAUGCCCUGAACUUGGACUUCAUACCCAACCGUGUCUGUCAUCCAGGGAUUUACCCAAGCUUUUGCUGAUCUUCUUUAUGUUUUCAGACAGUACACACUCAGGCAAAGAAGUUCCAGAUGUGUACUAAAUACUUCCUCACUUUAUCUAACUUACAACUAACCCCUUUACCAUCAUAUGGGUAAUAAUGAAUUAAAAAGCUACAUUCAUCUUUCCUGUAAUCCAAAUGGCGUUAUCAAAUUUGUUUCUUAUAUAUUAAAGAGAUUAUUUUUUUUCCAAAUUCAAAUCUCAUAUACAACUUUCUCCAAGACAUUAUCAUUUUUAUUUCUAUUACUGAUAUUUUGUGAACUCUUUUCUAAUUCCAUUAUUGUCCUUCCUAUAAAUCUGAUAUUCUCCUGAAUUACACUGAGUUAUUCAGGCAUGCCUAGCCCAUAUUAUUAUAUGAGGGUAAGAUUCUAUGUCUCAAUAACGGAGAACAACCUUAAAUAUUGACUACAUGAUUCAUGAAAACAAAUGUUGCCCCAAGUCAAUAAAAUAAUACAGUGUUUAUAAAUUUUAAAUAGUUAUUUAAUUACUAAUAAAAUUUAAAGGGAUCUGUUUUGUCUUUUUUCUUUCUAAUGCCCCAUUCCCUCUGCUGUCUCUUCUUUUCCUCACUAGGGUGUGGAUCUCUACAAAGUAAUGGAAGCUGGUGACUUUAUAUGCAAAGCUGUGCAUAAAAAUACAAACUCUAAAGUAGCACAAGCCUCCUUCAGUGCUUGACAUCAGUGGAUUUGUGACUUAAGAUCAAGAAGAUCCAUUUCAGCAGCAUACAUUCAUCUGAAAAUCAUUAGUGCCAACUCAUUUUGAAAUGUAAUAGGCAAAGGUGGAGAAAGAGGAACAACUUUUUAAAAACAUUAUUACUGAAUAGACUAUGACGUCAAUAGUAAGCAAUACCAGUCAUCAGGUAAAUCAUAAUUGGAGGAUGAGUAAUGAAACUUGUAGACAUCCUUUUGAACUUGGAAGAAAAAAAAAGUCUCAUCUUUUGCUCUUGUAGAGAUGACUUUUUAAUUUAAUAGAUGUGAAUAUUGACCUCAGAUUUCCCUAAGUGUCACGUACUGUGUUAAUACUUAAUCAUGCUAGCUUAGCACAGUAUACACAUUGUCAGUAGUUUAUGAGCUCCCGCAUAGUGUGCAGAGUGUGUGGCCUUGAUAUUAUGUGUUAUGCCUCUGGAUAUCAACUUUCCAUUUGCCAAGUCAGUUAAGUUAUGGAUAAAGAGCCAAAUCUCCAUCUGACCCUGCAUAAUUUUAGCAAUAGAACUUUUAUAUUUCAAGUAAGGCUAACAUCUGUUAACUAUUUCAGUGACUUUAUCUGGUUCCAAGAGACUGUGGUCAAUGGCAAGACGCCAUAUCCUGGAAAUGCAUUAUAGCCACCCAUGUUUGUUACACGCAUCCAGUUUACCAUACUUUACCUUUCAUCAGCUAUGGAAAAAAAGCAAAAAAAAAAAAAAAAGCAUGGUGUUACUAAACUAUUGAGAAAUCAUAAAGUAUGACUUUUGUUUAGAUGUUUAAGUUUUCAGUUAUGAGAACACAUAGAUGCAGGUACCAUAAUCCAACUCCUUAAUUUCAGUUCACUUCCAAAUUGCCCAAGGAAAUAUCACUGAGAUCCCAAGGAUAUUAAGAUGAUUUUUAGUUCAUGAAAUAUGUUGGUUUAUGUUAAUUCAGGGUACCUUGACUCUAUCAGAUCAUUUUUUUGGUUCACCUUUUAAAAUGGUUAUUUUAAAGUUGAAAUGGGAUAAAUUUUGUCUUUUGUACUAAACAACAUUGCCAGAGAGACAAAUUUAGUAUAUUAAAGACUAAAAGAAAGGGAAGCAGGGAACGGUAUUUAGAAAAACAUUGCUAUAACCUAUGCAAAUAAUACAGGGAUGGUGUUCUUACAUGUGGAUCUGGAAUGUCAGUUCUAUUACUUAUAUAGACUUUCCCAAUAAUACUGGUGAUCUUAUCUUUGAAUAAAUUUUAAUAUAAAUUGAAAUAUGAAAGUGAGCUUUAUGGACUUUUUGGAAUAUAUUCAUUAAAACCAUUGAAAUAAAAAGAGAUUUAAGAAAAUAAUUAUGGAUUGCAAAUAAGUCAUCUUUAAAGAUACAGGGUAAGAAAAGUAUCAGAAAGUCAGCAUUGAUAAUUGACAAAACCAAACUAAAUUCCUAUGGAAGAGGCCAACCUACCAGCUCGUGACACUGUUUUGGAGCAGGGGCUGUAACAGCACACUCGUUUUGCAGAGUACUGAAAGCAGUUCUCUGUUUUGGGGUUCAGGUAGGGUGUGAGGAUAGUGUGAGCAGCAUGCAAAAUGGCAACUGGUUAUGGAUCUGCUUCAGUUAUAUCUCCCUUGUGCAUCUCUCUCCAUGAAGUAUGUACCCUUGCACACUAAAGGAGCAAAAAGGUAUCUUUACCAAGUGUGCACAGCAGGGAAACUGGCUUUUCCUCUCUUUCUCAAAGCUGCCGAAUUCUUAGUUUUGAGAUAUUUGAAAAAGUACCUUUUGAUACAAACUGCAUAUAGAAACUGAGACGGGGAAAUGUUGCUGUUUUGAACUAAAAUCAUGGACUGUUCAAGAAACAGAGCAAAUAGAAAUUCUAGGUUCAGUCUAGCACACAGUUACACAACACUCAUAUCAGCCUGCAGAUUCAUUUCCAUUACUAUCUGAUGCUACCUAAUCAUAUUUGCAACAUGAAAGUUUAUGUUUUAGAUACUGGUAUCCCUUUCUUUACCCCAAAUUCUUUUCUAGCUUAAUGAGAUUUUUUUUUCAGGUUUUGGAAGAAAACUCAGAUAAUCAUAUAAAGCUGUCUGAAACCCACAGACAGAAUCCACCCAAAGUUAUGUCUCAGCUAACCAGAAAUCCUUGGAAUCAUUGCAAGACCCACCAAAAUAACUUACCUGCUCAUAUAUCAAUACCAUAUUUAGUUUCAGGGAAAGGAUUUAAGAAUAAAAAUGCAAUUAUAGCUUUUGUUGAAAUGCAAAUCAAAAUAUUUUAUAAAAUCUAUGCCUAAGUCAAGAAAAUAUUCAUUCUAUGUAUUAGAACCUGUAAUGCAUUUUUAUUGUGUGUGUGUUGAUGACCUAUUAUAGACAAACAUUUUAAGACUACGUUCUCUGAAAAAUAACAAUUUUAGAAUCCUGCAUUCCUAAAAUUCACAAAGCAAAUGAAUGAAAUCUGGCUAUGACUUUCUGGGAAAAUUCAGAUGUCAUUGUGAUAUUAUUCAUUAUGAUCACUA
rnacentral:lncRNA from 1 species